rnacentral:lncRNA from 1 species
CGAAAAACUCCGCCGGACCGACUACGGGGAAAACCGUACUCCGGAUCGAAAAAGUCAAAACACGAAAAAUGUCCGGAAUAUUCAAAUUAGGCUAAAGGUCAGUUUUGUUGAAACUUCCGGGAAGAAAAUUUGCUACACCGUUACGAGUGGACUGUUUUACGGAAGCGGUUUUCGAAUAAUCAAAUAAUUAAUAAAUAAAUAUAAAUAUACGCAAUUUAAAUCCGUAAAUCGAUUAUAAAAUCAUAUAACAUCACAUAAAUCGAUAUGAAAAUACCCAAAUAAACUAUAUUUCAUUCUGAGCAUAUAGAAAUUGAAAUCUCUCAAAUACGAACACAUAUGAGCAGUCAACCCAAUAAACCAGAUAAUACAGAAUUCACAAAAAUUCAUAUAUUAAUCAUAUAAUAUUAAUAAUUAAUCAUAACUAAUUAACAAACAAAUUCACCAAUACCACUUAAUCACAUAACACACAUAUAUUCACACAAUAUUCAUACAGAAUUUUCAAAACAAUAUAUGAAAAUCAGUUUUGAAAAUACAAUUAUUUAUCAAUAACACAAUAACCCGGGGGUUUAAAUAUAAAACCUUGUAAACUCAUUAAACUGGAAUAAAAUAUUAAAUCUUAUUCCUUUCUUUUUAAGAAAAUCAUUUAUAAUAUUAAUAAAAAUAUUUUUAAAAUCCGGGUUAUUACAAUCUACCCUCCUUAUAGGGAUUCCGUCCUCGGAAUCAGAGAAAGAAGGAGGACGCAAUAUUUGUAAAAUCCAUAUUAAUCCACAAAACAAGUAUAAUCAUAUAAAACUAUUCACAUAAUCAAUUCACUUUUCAACUAAAGCCAACAAUAAUAUUUAGACAGAUAGAUUUAUAACAAUCAAAUCUAAAUUUAAAAAUAUGGGAUAUUACAUUCUACCCCCCUUAUAAGGAUUCCGUCCUCGGAAUCCUCCGAAGAAACUAAAACGUAUCAUUUAUAAGAUCGUGGUACACGCUUCAUAAUAUCACAUGCUCAUCCGCCUUUGAUCAACUUUGGCAUACCUUCAAAGUUAAAGAAAUAGGAAAAUCAACACCUUCACAAUUGCAAACUUCAUUUCCCAAGAAUCAAUCUUUGGGAAUUUCGGAGGAACAAGAUGUUUUCAAAAUAGGUCACAUUGGAAUACAAGAGUGACUGGGAGAUCAAUACGAUCAAAUGAACUUAAUGUUGCGUGUCCAUAUUAGACACUACUAAAGGUUGUUAACCUUCUUGUAAUCACAACACACACAAGUGAUGGCGUCCCAUCCAACUCCUAUCACACAGACAGGUAUACCUUGUGUCCCCUAUAAAUAGGGUUGUUCAUCCCAAUCAGAUGGAAAGAAUCCAAGAAAUCUCAAGUAGCAUCAAGGAAUGUUAAGGAUUAUCGAGGAAUAUAUUAAGGAAUAUCGAAAAGUUAUCAAGGAAUAUCAAAGAAUGUCAAAGAAUAUCAACGAAUAUUAAGGGAUAUCAAAGAAUAUGAAAGAAUAUCAAGGGAUAUCAAAUAAUAUCAAGGAAUUCCACUGUCUCUUCAUAAACACGCCUUUAUCAUACACUGAUUCAAUACCAACUCACACCAAUAAUCAAUAUCAUUAUCAUCUUAGAAUGUGAGAAAUUGAAGAUCUCAUUUAUCAAAACUUUUGUAGAAAAGAUAUCAUGAUAAUAUCUCGCUGAUGAGAAAAACAAUGCAAAAGAAUCUUUAAUUGAAGAGAGGUAUUGCCAAGGUCUUCUCACAUUCCCGCUCUGCUUCAGUAAAUCAUUGUUCGAUAUAUGUCUUCUUUUCAACGUUCUCGAUAAUCGAUCGAUGUUGACUCGUAAUAGCCUCGUAAGAUGUCAUCGUAGACGUUAUCGUCCGUAAUAACUCUGGCCCAUGUAGUUUACAUUCUUCUACUUUAUCCCAGUUGCCUUUGAAAUCCAUAGCACAAACACGUAACGUAUCUUCGAUUGUCUGGAUCAUCAACCUGUGGGUUAUGGGCCCACCUUGAUGCCAUUUGAAAUCCCGAUUAGCUCGAAGCGUUGUCGUCGAGGACUAACGUUCUAACUUACUCGUAGACAUCAUCUCUAAUAACUGGACUCAAUUCCACGUACUCUCUAUCAUUCACUUCUCACCUAUCAACCUCUAUCUACCAAUCUCUCCUUCUAAUCCAAUACAACUCAUACUCUACACUUACUCUUCAUAUCUUCACUCAAAACAAUAUACAUCUUCCAAAUAUCUGACAUGGUCAACAUACUAUGAACCAUGCAUUUAUAUCAUCCUCAAAUCAAUACAAUAAUCCAAUUUCAAAUAUGCAGUAUAGUCAGAAUACUCUGAACUCUGCAUUUUCACCAUUCUCAACUCAAUCAUUCACUAUCAAACUCUUCUAUAUAGGUCUAAUACUGACCUUUCCCACAAUUCACCAUCUCAAUUAAUCAACAUACUAGAAAUCAUAUGUCUAAACUUAAGAAUCCUAAUCUCUUUAGAUAUCCACACUUAACUUGAUCAUCUAACUAAACUCUAUGCUUCACUCACAUCUCUAGACUAUUCCUAAAUAGUCCGACCAUACCUCUAUGUGAGGUUACACCACAUUCUUCUCUAGAAAACCUAUAACUAUGAUCUAUAUUCUAAUUUCAAAUACUUAUAACCUGUUGCUCUGAUACCAACUGUGACAGUCCAGGAAUCCGGGGGUCUGGAUUCUGACGUCACCACACAAAACCCUUUUAAAACACUUUUGAAACCCUGUAUUUUUUUUUCUAAAGAUAAUAAAAUCAGAGAAUUUAAAACCUGAAAACAUUUAAUAAAAGAUUUGAAUGAGAACAUAAAUCGAAUGAUUUCAAAACCUGAAUUUCAAACUUGAAAGCCAUAAUAGGAGAAUUUCAAGAGAACAUUUAAACUUUAAUAAAUGAUUCGAAAGAGAACAUUUAAACCCCCUAAAAGCAACAGGAUCGCAUCCAGGUUACAGUAUUGAAAUUAGAAUCUACCACUAUUAUUACACAACAUCUCUUACCAAAUCAGAUCAUCUUCGAUAAGAAGAAUCACUGUCAACUAUUCCAGCUUGCACCAACCUCAUCAACUUUCCUGAACACUCCUCGACCACUGGAUCCUCAACUCUGUCUCCUCGCCUAGCAUUAGCCUUACUCACAAUCUCAAUCAAUCAUCUCAUCUUUAAGCCUUUCUGAAAUGGUUAGAAAGGAAUAGCAAGGGUGAGCAACAAUGCUCAGCAAGUAAUAAUAAACAAUGAUAGUUCUGAAAUGAUAUAACAGAAGUUCACGAGUUCAAGAUAUAAGAGGAUUCAACCUGAGUUCAUGAGUUCAUGGUAUUGUAUAGAAUGAUUUACAAUACCUUGCAGCAUUUAAACUGAGAAAUUCAAUCUUUCCAAAGAAUUAUUGAAUUGGACUAUCACAUUUUAAUUAAAACCAAGGUUAGGCAGCUGAUCAGUUCCGCACUAACCCCGAGCAGGCCCCGCCAUGCUCUAUCACUGGAUCCAAGGCACUCAUUGGCCUAACAUGACCACGAAUCUGGUCCACAGGUUUAUAUAAAAACAAUAAUCCAAUUCUCUAAUUCAAUUCAAGAAGCCAAUGUAAAUUAACAGAACAUCAUCAUAAAUAUCAUCAACAACAGAAUAAUUCCAAUUCAAACUUUGAUAAUAAUCUAUUCAUAAAUCAUGAUCCAUCAUUUCAUAAAUCACAGUUCAGGAAAUCCUCAACUAUUCAGUAUCCUCCAUUAUCGGCUAAGCAACUGAAUUUAGCCUGCUAAACCAGCAUGACAAUGGCGGGUUGAAUAAUCAAGAAGAUCCCAAUUCAUUCAAAGCUCUAACUAUCACUGAGCAACACAUGCUUCAAUGACAAUCUGAACUUCGAAUUAAUUUGUAAAACGGAAAUUCUUUAGAAACUUGAAGAUUAGAAAGAAUGGGUCAGAAUACUCGCACUUUCGAACAUUGAAAAGAAAGGUAUGAAUACUUGAAACAUAUACCAAAGGAAUGGAUCAGAAUAUUUGCAAUAUAUCCAAGAGAAGGGUUUAGGAUACUUGCCUUAAAUCUGACUCCAGUUUCACAGCUCAAUCUCAUCUUUCAACUUUCACAAUCUAUGCAUCUCGUAAUCUCUAGACCAUCUCUAGCUAUACUCUAUUCGCCACAUCGCUUCGCUUACUCGAUUCAUCCCUUAUUCGCUUUGCAAUACCAUUCCGACUUUCUGACGUCUUCGAGCGUACACGUCUCGUCCAAAUCCUUUACGAGAAUAAGAUAAUACUAUAGUCACUAAACAAUAUAUCGCAUAUACAUAUCACGUAUAUCGAUACCCACUUAUAUAUCCCUUUAAACUUAUCAGAUACCACGUAACACAUAAGCAUGCUUUGACUCUAACAUAUAGUCAAUCAUAUUCCACAUAACAUAUCACCAAUCAAUUAUCAUAUAAAUCCUUAUCGAAAAUCCGACAUCGUCUCGUCUAUGUAUAAGACUAUCCACCUGUUAUCCUAUCUCAAUCAUUAAUCAACCAACAAAAUCCAAUAACUAUAAUCCAUAUAUUCUUAUCCAAUAUCAAUCAUACGAAUCAUUUAUCACUUCACAAUAUCAAAACUAACACGUACUUCACAUAAUCAUCACUUGAUAGCACUUAGAUCACAUAUUAUCACAUUAUGCAUACUUAUCAACAAUUAUUCACCUUAUAGACUCAGCCAUAUAGUCACAUCAUAUUAAAAUAGACGUUAUAAGCUUCUGUCUCUCUUUCGUUUCACUUGAUUCCGACUUACGGAUCAAAAGUUAUGCUCAAAACAGUUUUCUCACUCUCCUAUCGGCACAUAACACAUCCAACCAAUAGCAGACAACACACAACACAUAAGGUUUCCCAUCCCAAUUGAUAUUAAAUCAAGUCUUGGGUUAAAAAUGAUUUUUCGGGAAUUUUCUGGAAUUUUUAAACAUUUUUCGGAAUUAAAAUCGAUAAAAGAAUCACUUUUCGGAUAAAUAAUCAAGUCCCAAAUACUUGAAAUUGGACUUGAAAUCAUUCAUAAACAAUUAUCGAGCCUUGAAAAUAAUUUAGAAAAAUAUUUUAAAGCUCGAAACUAUUUUUCGGAAUUUUUAAAUCAAAAAGGAUAAUUAAAUCCAAUUAAUUAAUCAAUUAAAUCAAUUAAUAAUUAAUUAAAAUAAUUAAUCAAUUAAUAUUUAAAUUAAUUGACUAAUUAAAAUAAUUAAUUACUAAUUAAAAUUAAUUAACAAACUAAUUUAGAUUUAUUUUUGAAUAAAGAAAUAAUUAAAAACUAUUUUUGGAAUUUAAAAUAAUUAAAUAAAACAAUUUUAGGAAAUUACAUCAAAAAGGUUUAUUUUGUAAACUUUUGAAAAUUUUCAACCAGGGUUUAAACUGUAACUUUAGAAAGUUACAGGGGGUGAUAUGUAACUUUUAAAACUUGGGUAUGAGAACUGUAUCAUUUUCGAAAGUAGGAGGGCCAAACUGCACUUUUGCAGCGGCACCUCCCCCCCGUCGCCGUUAAUCGCCGGAAUCGGCGUUUCCGAGCUCCUUUCCCCACCAGAAACUGCAGAUAGGAUCUUUGAGCAUCCAAAAACUUAACCACGCCAUCAGAUUAAUCAGAAGCGGCCCUAUUUGGCCGGAAAAUUCAUAUAAAAGCUCGCCGCCGGCGAGUUUCUUUUGAAACUCCGGCGAGCCCUUUCUUGACAUCCCACAUAACCUUCGAACACACACGCACGUUCCUCCCAUCACACUCUAUCUGUUUGUCAACUCAAAACUCACCCAGAAUUAGCCAAUUACAAAACCCCAAUCUUCAAUUGAAAAUAUUCAAACUAACCUCAAGAACACUCCUCAAGAAUUAAACAUGAAUUUCUAUAUGUUAUCGAACUCGAAAAUCAACAUAUAAUAUACCAAAACGACGAGAAAAACAUGCUCUACAUCAUAGAAUCAUCAAAACAAUCAAACAAACACGUUUGCAAAAAUUCACUAUUUAAAUCAUAAUAAUUCGAAUUUUAAAACUUCAAUUACUCCCUACCUGUGAAUCUCAUGUUGUUUUUGAUGAUUGAUUUGGGUUCUACUCUUCGAUAUCUUCGAUUUGACUAUUUGCACGCUUGAUUCUGACUCCAAUAACACCUUCAAAUCUUCGUUUGAUUAUGAAGAACACGAAGAACACCGCUCGGUUUCUCUCGGUAUUCGUGCAAAGAAACUGGUGAAAUGAUUUUACGGGUGAAAAUAAGCUCUAGAAAGGUCUAUUUAUAUUUACAAAUAAUUGGUACCCCUUUGGAUCGUUUAUGACAUGAAAAUACGUAUUUAAUAGCUUUAUAUUAAUAAAGCGGGGUCCAAUCGGUACUGGUUUUCGAGAUAAUCAUCAAAACGGGGCUUUUUAACUCAAUUAUUGGUCUGCGGGUCCCAUUGCAAUUAUUACAAGAUAAGGAUGAAUAUAAUAAUCAAAAUAUCUCGUUUCACGUUUAUCGAGACAAACUGGAUAAUUAUCAACAAUUAAAAUACCCGAAAAACUCCGCCGGACCGACUCCGGGGAAAACCGUACUCCGGAUCGAAAAAGUCAAAACACGAAAAAUGUCCGGAAUAUUCAAAUUAGGCUAAAGGUGAGUUUUGUUGAAACUUCCGGGAAGAAAAUUUGCUACCUCGUUACGAGUGGACGGUUUUACGGAAGUCAAAUAAUUAAUCAAUAAAUAUAAAUAUACGCCAUUAAAUCCGUAAAUCGAUUAUAAAAUCAUCUAACAUUCCAUAAAUCGAUAUGAAAAUAUCCAAAUAAACUAUAUUUUCUCCUGAGCAUAUAGAAAUUGAAAUCUCUCAAAUACUAACACAUAUGAGCAUUCAGCUCAAUAAACUAGAUAAUACAAAGUUCACAAAAUUAUAUAAUAAUCAUAUAAUAUUAAUAAUUAAUCAUAACUAAUUAACAAACAAAUUCACCAAUACCACUUAAUCACAUAACACACAUAUAUUCACACAAUAUUCAUACAGAAUUUUCAAAACAAUAUAUGAAAAUCAGUUUUGAAAAUACAAUUAUUUAUCAAUAACACAAUAACCCGGGGUUUAAAUAUAAAACCUUGUAAACUCAUUAAACUGGAAUAAAAUAUUAAAUCUUAUUCCUUUCUUUUUAAGAAAAUCAUUUAUAAUAUUAAUAAAAAUAUUUUUAAAAUCCGGGUUAUUACAAUCUACCCUCCUUAUAGGGAUUCCGUCCUCGGAAUCAGAGAAAGAAGGAGGACGCAUAAUCAGUAUAAUCCAUAUUAAUCCAUUGAACAAGUAUCAUAACAUAAAACUAUUCACAUAGUCAAUUCACUUUUCAACUAAAGCCAACAAUAAUAUUUAGACAAAUAGAUUUAUAAUAAUCAAAUCUAAAUUUAAUAAUAUGGGAUAUUACA